AGCUGUUGGAGGAGAUGGUUCAUUUCAGUUGAAACCUUGGCAAAAGCUUAAGCUUUCUAUAGAGAUCUUCUGUAACAAUCAAGGUUUGUUAAAUGAUGGUGGCACAAUAUUGCUAGACAAGCUGGCGGGGUAUUUCUGUAUCAGUAAAAUCUUAAUUUUGUUUAUCUAUGAUUUUGUUGAACCUCAAUUCGUAUUUAGCUAACUACUUGCUCUCUUCUCCUUCUUAUCCCUGUGAUUUGGUAACUCAGAAUACUGUUAUUAUAUCAACUGGAUCCUUCUCUAGAUGCAGAAUUUGCUGGAUGAAUUACAAUUUCAGUUAGUUUAUUUUUUAAUAUAAUUUUUUUUUAUUAUGUAAAAAGUGAAAAUGUCUGUCUGGAGCAUGGUAAAACAGUUUCACCCCAACCCCCCCUCACCCUUUGAACUAUUUCUUAUGUAUUUUGGCUUCAAGUAGAUGAAAGUAAUCUUGAUAGAAAAGGCAUAUACUUAACGAGGAUAAUAGCAAUUGCUUAUACAACAUCAAUGUUUUCCUUU